rnacentral:tRNA from 1 species
GCCGGGAUAGCUCAGUUGGUAGAGCAAAGGACUGAAAAUCCUUGUGUCCGCAGUUCAAGCCUGCGUCCUGGCA